rnacentral:rRNA from 1 species
GACGAACGCUGGCGGCGUGCUCAACACAUGCAAGUCGAGCGAUGAAAGCCUUAUGAACUAUUCGUAGUGAUUGGGGCCGGAUUAGCGGCGGACGGGUGAGUAACGCGUGAGCAACCUGCCUUAAACAACUGGAUAGCCUCGGGAAACCGGGAUUAAUACCGUAUGAGACCCCGCCUUCACAGGGAGAAGAGGUUAAAGAUUUAUCGGUUUAAGAUGGGCUCGCGUCUGAUCAGCUAGUUGGUGAGAUAAAAGCCCACCAAGGCAACGAUCAGUAACCGGCUUGAGAGAGUGAACGGUCACAUUGGAACUGAGACACGGUCCAAACUCCUACGGGAGGCAGCAGUGGGGAAUAUUGCACAAUGGGGGAAACCCUGAUGCAGCGACGCCGCGUGAGCGAUGAAGGAAUUCGUUUCGUAAAGCUCUGUCCAAGGGGAAGAUAAUGACAGUACCCUUGGAGGAAGCCCCGGCUAAAUACGUGCCAGCAGCCGCGGUAA